CUGAUCUCUAUUCCCGGAUCUGCCUCUGGCUUCCUGCGUGACCUUGGGCUGGUCACCUACCUUUUCUUUUCUUUGGUUCCCAAAUUGUAACAUGGAAAUAAUUCUCUUCCUGCGGUGCCUCAGCCCCUGCUGCCUUUAGGGUGGUCGAGAUCCUCUGACGGGAGGAAGGUAGCACGUUUCCACUGGAGAAAUACUUACCCAGAGCACGGUAAUUUGGGGGCGUGUUGGUGUUCACUCGGGUACAGCAGGGUGCGUGCUGCUGCUUGUGCUUUUUUUUUUUUUUAGUAGGCAAACCUGUGGUGGAAGUCAAAUUCCGUUUGUGGUGGAUGCAGAGCAACGUCAGCUGCAGCGUGCCCUUUCCUCACUAGGAGAUGGUUACCUAGCCAAGGUCACUGCUGCUGCAUGCCUGUAUCACGCAGCGAGCCAGCCUCCUCUUCCUUCCACGGGCGCUGAUCUCAGCGAGGCUUCCCCAGAGCCAGCUGCUCCCGGAAUAGUUUGGGAAUGAAAUGUCACCGUUUGAAACUGCUGGAUCCUAGCGCCUUCUCCGACAGGACUAGGUCGUAUCUGUCUGACAACGCACCUACAGUGACUCUCUUAAUUAAGUCUCCCUGCACUGCUGUGAGGGCAGCAUUCUGUGUUCCUGCUCCAGCCUACGAGAGCCAGCCAUUUCCACGCGGCAGCUCUGCCUCGUAGGCACUAAGAAAUGGGCACCUUGAGCUGAAGUGCCAUGGUUGUUGUAGUACUACUGGUGUACUACCGAGCGGUCCCGGGCGUGCUGACUGUAGCUGUCGCUGCCCCAGCCUGCUGCCAGAGGUUUGUG
rnacentral:lncRNA from 1 species